UUGGAGACCUCAAAUCAGGUAGGACUACCCGCUGAACUUAAGCAUAUCAAUAAGCGGAGGAAAAGAAACUAACAAGGAUUCCCCUAGUAACUGCGAGUGAAGCGGGAAAAGCUCAAAUUUGAAAUCUGGCAGUUCUURACUGUCCGAGUUGUAAUCUAGAGAAGUGUUACCUGUGCUGGACCGUGUACAAGUCUCCUGGAAUGGAGCAUCAUAGAGGGUGAGAAUCCCGUCUUUGACACGGACUACCUGUGCGUUAUGGUGCGCUCUCAAAGAGUCGAGUUGUUUGGGAAUGCAGCUCAAAAUGGGUGGUAAAUGCCAUCUAAAGCUAAAUAUUGGCGAGAGACCGAUAGCGAACAAGUACCGUGAGGGAAAGAUGAAAAGAACUUUGGAAAGAGAGUUAAACAGUACGUGAAAUUGCUGAAAGGGAAACGCUUGAAGUCAGUCGCGUUGGCUAGAAAUCAGCCUUGCUCUUGCACGGUGUACUUUCUGGUCGACGGGUCAGCAUCAAUUUUGACCAUUGGAUAAAGUCUUUGGGAAUGUGGCAUCUCAGGAUGUGUUAUAGCCCAUUGUCGCAUACGGUGGUUGGGAUUGAGGAACUCAGCACGCCGCAAGGCCAGGUUUCGACCAUGUUCGUGCUUAGGAUGCUGGCAUAAUGGCUUUAAUCGACCCGU
rnacentral:rRNA from 1 species